UACGUAGGGUGCAAGCGUUGUCCGGAAUUAUUGGGCGUAAAGAGCUUGUAGGCGGUUUGUCGCGUCUGCUGUGAAAACCCGGGGCUUAACCCUGGGCUUGCAGUGGAUACGGGCAGACUAGAGGCAGGUAGGGGAGAAUGGAAUUCCCGGUGUAGCGGUGAAAUGCGCAGAUAUCGGGAGGAACACCAGCGGCGAAGGCGGCACUCUGGGCUGGUACUGACGCUGAGGAGCGAAAGCGUGGGUAGCAAACAGG
rnacentral:rRNA from 1 species